ACUGCCACCAGUCCUUCAUCUUUCUCUCACCUCGCUCUCUCGCACGUGCGCUCUCUACAUACCGUCGUCCACCCGCGUCGUCCUCCCAAGUUCCGGCGACGCAUAACUUUCUCCGGCAUCCUCAGGUUGGAAGUUGUUACAAGAUUAACCCGAUGAUUCGAUGAAAUAAUAUAUUUUUAAAGCCAUCUUUGAGUAGUUAAAUUUAGCAGGGAAUAUAUUGAAGAAGAGGUUGGUUGUUAUUGACUUAUGCACUAGAAAUGACUACAAAUUUAUAAUGAGUUAUAUUGAUGGUCAUGGAAGAUAAAGGGCUUAUCUUUUUUAUUUAUGUCUUGCCAUUGUCCAUUUAGAUUGAAGUUAUAAAAACAUUAACUCAACUUGAAUGUAAUGUGGGUCCUCGUUCUUGAGAUAAUCUUUUCAGUUGCAGGGUCUUUUUAAACUUA